ensembl:snoRNA
AUGCGAUGAUGAGCGAAGUACAGUCUGACCUGGUACUGCCAUUGGUGUUGGCUUUGACCAGGGUGUGAUCCCUUAAUCUUCUCUCUGAGCUC